CCUACGGGUGGCAGCAGUGGGGAAUAUUGCACAAUGGGGGAAACCCUGAUGCAGCGACGCCGCGUGAGUGAAGAAGUAAUUCGUUAUGUAAAGCUCUAUCAGCAGGGAAGAAAAUGACGGUACCUGAGUAAGAAGCCCCGGCUAACUACGUGCCAGCAGCCGCGGUACUACGUAGGGGGCAAGCGUUAUCCGGAUUUACUGGGUGUAAAGGGAGCGUAGACGGCAGUGCAAGUCUGGAGUGAAAGGCUGGGGCUCAACCCCCGGCCUGCUCUGGAAACUGUACGGCUGGAGUGCAGGAGAGGUAAGUGGAAUGCGUAGUGUAGCGGUGAAAUGCGUAGAGAUUAGGAGGAACACCAGUGGCGAAGGCGGCUUACUGGACUGUAACUGACGUUGAGGCUCGAAAGCGUGGGGAGCAAACAGGAGUAGAUACCCUAGUAGUC
rnacentral:rRNA from 1 species